CCAAGCACUUAGUACAGUGCUCUGCACAAGGCUGUGUGGUAGGAUUUGUUUUUGCCUCAAAGAAGACCUUUCUACAUUUAUCAGCAUCUUGUAGUAUUUCCAGCCACGUAACAGCUAUUUUACCAUCCCGUGAUGCAGUCCUGAAAGAGAAGCUGGAUUGGAUGAAGACGAACGAGCAGUAAAGAUUGGAAGAAGGACUAUAAACAACCUUCAUAAUGCUGAUGAUACAACCCUACUAGCAGAAAGUGAAGAAGACUUGAAGGGCUUAUUAUUAAAAGUUAAGGAACAGAGCAAAAAGAUGGACGGAUAUUUAAACGUCAAGAAAACAAAGAUCAUGACAACUGGAAGUUUUAAUACAUUUGCAGUGGAUGGAGAGCAGAUUGAUAUAGUUGACAGUUUUUCUCCCCUGGGAUAGAUAAUCAAUAAUAAAGGAAAUAGUAGCCAAGAAAUACUCCAAAGAUUAAUGUUAGGAAGACUAGCUAUGAAGAGCCUGGAAAAAGUCAUGAAAUGCGCUGAUGUAACGACUGCCAUAAAAAUUGAGGUCUGAGCUCUGCAAAGUCACCGCUCCCCUUCUCCUUCUUCCCCUCUCCCGCUCCCAACCCUCUCCCCUACUUUCCCAUC